rnacentral:rRNA from 1 species
GCCUACGGGGGGCAGCAGUAGGGAAUUUUCGUCAAUGGGCGCAAGCCUGAACGAGCAAUGCCGCGCGAACGAGGAAGGUCUUCGGAUCGUAAAGUUCUGUUGAAGGGGAAAAAGAGCGGAGAGAGGAAAUGGUCUCCGAUUGAUAUUACCCUUCGAGGAAGUCACGGCUAACUACGUGCCAGCAGCCGCGGUAAUACGUAGGUGGCGAGCGUUAUCCGGAAUGAUUGGGCGUAAAGGGUGCGUAGGCGGCCUGCUAAGUCUGGAGUGAAAGGUACCGGCUCAACCGGUACCGGCUCUGGAAACUG